UCCUACGGGAGGCAGCAGUGGGGAAUCUUCCGCAAUGGGCGCAAGCCUGACGGAGCAACGCCGCGUGAGCGAAGAAGGCCUUCGGGUUGUAAACCUCUGUCUGGGGGGACGAAUCCUGACGGUACCCCUGAAGGAAGCCCCGGCUAACUACGUGCCAGCAGCCGCGGUAAAACGUAGGGGGCGAGCGUUGUCCGGAAUUACUGGGCGUAAAGGGCGUGUAGGCGGCUCAGGAAGUCAGGGGUGAAAUACCGCGGCUCAACCUCGGGGCGGCCCCUGAAACCGUUGGGCUUGAGGGCAGGAGAGGGGAGUGGAAUUCCCGGUGGAGCGGUGAAAUGCGUAGAUAUCGGGAGGAACACCAGUGGCGAAGGCGGCUCCCUGGCCUGUCCCUGACGCUCAGGCGCGAAAGCGUGGGGAGCAAACAGGAUUAGAUACCCCGGUAGUCCCCGCCGUAAACGAUGGGUGCUAGGUGUUGGAGGUAUCGACCCCUUCAGUGCCGCAGUUAACACAAUAAGCACCCCGCCUGG
rnacentral:rRNA from 1 species